rnacentral:lncRNA from 1 species
CGAUCUGAAGAAAAGUCGGGGAAAACUUCUUUGUGGGUCAUUAUGGGUUUCCUGUCCUGAGUCCCUCCUGGGACCGUGGGCAGCAGAGGCCUGUCUCUUGCACAUGGUGAAGUUUCCCUUGUGUGUGUGGUUGUGGCACAGGAAGGAGGCGUGUGGAUCUUACACCUUAGGAACCUUCUCACCUUUCAAGAUUGACUUCGAAACCUCAUGUUGCCUGAGCAAGAAGCCCAGCAGGGGAGGAGGAGGAGGAGGAAGGAAGGCCAGGAGUCAGGAAUGGCUGUUUCUCAGAUAUCUCUCCUAUACAUGUGAUCAAGAAAUUACAACCGAAAGUAAACACUGAUAGAGGAGAAGCAUUCCAGACAGUGAAGCUGCAAAGACAGGAAAGGAACAAAAUCAAACAUUUUUACCUGAGGGAAAUCCAGGGAAACACAUACGACCUUGAGUCUCAGCAGAGAGAUGAGGAAAGAACUGACAAAGGAAUGGCUGUAACGCAACACGAAAAUCUCACCGCUAAGCGAGAUCGACAUGGUACCAGUAUUGCAGGGAUCAGUCCUGCUGGUAGCAGGUUUGCAGUAAGCUUUCAGGAUGAACUGCAUGGAUUUAAAAGUGCAGAGAAAAUUCUUCAAGCUGACUCGAGUCUCCGUAGUCGUGCCUCAUUUUCACCACCUCAAACAGUGUCUCCUGUCAUCCAAGCCAACAUCCCUAACACAAAUGGGAGUGAUUUUCCGCCUCCUUCCAUACUGACGCAAGACCAUCGUGAACACAGGGAAAGCCCGCACAGAUAUAAUCGGGGGAGUGAAACUUUUCAUCAGGACCUAAACCUCACUGAACCUCCGAUCAUCCUUGCAGGAGAGAAAGUGCAUGACCGUGAACUUUGCGGCAAAGUCUUUCGUCUGAACUCAGAUCUUGCAGUUCAUCCGAGAAAUCAUACUGGAGAGAAAGCUUACAAACCUCCUGUGCGUGGCCAAACCCUGAGUCCCGGCUCACACAACACAGGACCUCUGACAAGCCGUAUAGACGAGAACACGUAUACAUGUGAGGUGUGCAAAAAAGCCUUCCGUCGAAAGUCAUACCUCGCCAUGCAUCAGCGAAUUCAUGCCGCAGAGAAAGCCUACACCUGUGAUGUGUGUGGCAAGAAGUUUCAUCACAGUUCGAAUCGAAGGAGACAUCAGAGAAUCCACACAGGAGCCAAGCCGUACGCAUGUGACGUGUGCGGUAAAGGCUUUAAUCGCAAUUCAAUCCUCGCGCUUCAUCGGCGAAUUCACACGGGCGAGAAGCCCUACAAGUGUAACGCGUGUGGCAAGGUCUUUAGCCGAAAAGGAACCCUUGCGAGUCACCAGAGGAUUCACACGGGAGAGAAACCUUACAGAUGUACCCAGUGUGGCAAAACCUUUCACCACCGCUCCGUCCUCCUGCGCCAUCAGAUGAUCCAUAAGGGGCUUAAGUUGCAUAAAUGCGAUGUCUGCGGCAACGUUUAUAGUCGCAGAUCAAAUCUUGUCAUUCAUCACAGGACUCACACUGGAGAGAAACCUUACACAUGCCAUGCGUGCGGCCAGGUCUUCAGUCAGAAAGCAUCCCUUGCAUGUCAUCAGGCAGUUCAUACGGGAGAGGAGCCUUACAAAUGCAGUGAGUG